AGAAGAAGAAGGCGCAUAAAGCGGAGACUCGUGACACACAACACACCUGCUCAUCUUCACGCAGGUGUUUUUCAAUCAGCUAAUGACCGCUGAUUGCUUCCUCCUCCUCUUCUUAUUUAAUCUUCGUCCAGCCAACAGUUCCGGGAUGUUACUUUGAAGAGAAGCUGCACGAGCCGUGGAACGAAAAAAAAAAGACGCGAAAAAAGUGUCGCUGCUUCGCUACUGAAACUGUUCCGGGAGGAGGGAACUUGUGACGGUAAUGCACCAACCGCCAUAAAACCUCAAAAAAGGAAGGAACUUUAAAAAAAAGAAGAGAAAAAAAAAAAAUAAAACUACCGCUGCGUGACGUCAGACGCCGAAAAGGUGGCCGCGUGCAUCAGCUCCUGUAUAAAAACGCAGCAAGGCGCUCCAGGAUGGCGUGUUCGACCUGGUCCAGAUUGGUGUCCCGUCCAGAAUGGAACAACCUGCUUCCUGCUCACAGAGACCUGGUCGGACCCGCCAUAUACAAAAGGCUGAGGCAGUUAAAAAAAGAUUGAUCUUCAUGAAGAUUGUCAAAUAGUAGGUGUCAUGAUUUAAUUCUGGGUGGCCGCUGUGUCCCCACUCUUUCUUGGCCACUGUGCCUACAUCUAUCUGCAUUGUCCAACAUGGCCACGUUCUUUCUAUUCUCCUGCUUUCUUCUGAAUCUGUCAAAUAGCUGAGGGUUGUGCCUUGUACACUCUGUCACAAGGUUAAGACUUCUUGGCCGCUGUGCCUUUUCUUUUUUUCCUCUUUUCCAUCGUGGCCAUUAAUCUACCGCUAGCCCUAGAACGCUUAAAUAGAUCCUGGUGAUCUACAGUACCUGGCUUUAGAUGGCAGCUUUGCCAUUGCCUUUGUAUGGCCAUACGUCCCUUAAUGCAAGUCGGCCUUGAUCGCUAACUGUGCCCGCGCCUUCAUAGUCUACUUGUGUUAUUGUACGUCUGGCCUUGCGCGUAUAGUCAUUUUAUAUAGGCAAACAUGGGUGCCUUCCGCGUCCAUGCACAGUAAGUGAACUAACCUGUACCUUUCUUCUAGCAUCAGUCAAGAGGAGCACCGACAUCCCUGCAUGUCCAUCUUAAUUAGAUUGCGUUUUAGUUAGGUUUAGGUAAAAUUUCAAAUGUUAAGUGCAGUUUUUCUUUCUUGCUUGGCCGCCGUGCCAUUACUAUACCUGCUCUGACCUGAAUCUUGAUUCUUCAUGGCCUCUGUGUCAUGACUGUACUUGGUCUUGGUGUUCAUCAUGCCAGUCUAUCAUUUCUGAUCUGUUUUUCCUACUAAGUUUUCGUGCGUGUGAGAGAGUGACUGUGAGAGAGUG